rnacentral:tRNA from 1 species
UUAAUUGAAACCAAAAUAGAGGUAAAUUAUUGUUAAUAAUUAAAAUGAUUAAUAAUCCAAUUAAA